UCCCCACCCCUAACCGCCGCCUCCCCGUCUAGACUCGCGCGCGUGUCCGCGGGGCGGGCCUCACCUCAGGUCGGCGGCGAAGAACUCGAAGUAGUCGUGCGCGGGCAGCGGGUGCAGCUGCUCCUCCAGCUGCUCUUUGCACGCUUUAACCCGAGAAUCUCAAGCACACACAGGAAACUAGAAAAAAAUUCUGAGGCUUGAACAGAUCGGGAGAACAAGGGCGUCACUGGCAGAAAAGCGGAGGCGAGUCCGAGCCCCAGGAUGCGGCCGCUCCUUACCGGAGAGCCGCCCGCCCCGAGACGUGGCUUCCUAGGAGCAGUUCACACGCAGCUCUGCGGCAGCGACCAGCGGAGCCAGGGGGGCUGUCUUCAUAGUUCACCGUCUACAGGGAUCUUAGCAAAAACACGCCCAUGGUAAGGGUGCCUACACCAGGCUUUUGUCACAACUCAGUGACUGGGAAGACUAGGUAGGCUGAUCAAAAGCUCUGACGUUGUGUGUGAUUAAAAGUAGGAAAAUGUGGUCGCCAGAUAAAAUGUUUUAACAUACAGUGGGGCGGGAGGGGGGGAAGAUGGGGAUAAAAAAUGUGGAAACCAUUUAUUUUAAAAUUUUGACUGUUCCUGUAGUCUAAAUAUAUUCUGAUUAUCUUUAGAAACUGCUCUCAAUCUAUUUGUAUGUCUUCCCUCUAGUUUUAAAAUAUUAAACCAUCAUCUAACUCACUAUUUUACCUCUAGUCAUGUUACCAGGUUGGGAUAAUAAAAAGGACAGUGAACUUCACAUUUGCUAUCUAUAACAGAUUCUUAUUGAAGCAGUCUUGCACCAAGAGGAUUUCUUACUCAGCCAAAUCACCAAAUGAAAAAAGGGCUGGUCCCACCUCUCACCAGGCACAACCAUGUACAGUGACUUAGGGUAUUUCUUGUGUUCAUGUUUUGCCCUCACCAUUCAUUGCAAAGCCCUGUCCCCUGCCUAGUGCCUCUGCACACCUCUCUGAGGCCAGGUUGGCCUCAGCCAGCGUGAGGGACCCUUCAUUUGACCUUCUCCAGAACCUUGAGCAUCUCCACUUUUCACUGCACUGUAUACCUAAAUGCUGGAUGCGUAUAUUUUGUAAACUUAGCAAGCAAAAUGCCCAAAUGUUUUUUCUCCCGAAGUCAACUUUUUAACCCCCUUCUGAUUCUCUACUUCCUGUUAUUGCAAAGUUCUGAAAAAUGAUUUAAAAAAAAAAUGACAGGAUUUUAGAAUUCAGUUGUCUUGACGAAUCUUUAAAUGAAAUCUUAUAUGAAUUUUAACGUACAGCGAAUGAAAUACACUUGUAAAAUACCUUAUGUUACAUGACAAAUUAUAUCACAAAGAAAAUCUAGCUUCCUACACAUUAGCCAGCUUGUUGAAAUGCUGUUUUGAUACGUGCACAGAACUUUACAGCCAAUAAAGCAGGAAUAAACAAUCUCCAAACGUCAGAAUGAAGAUGGUAUGUAAUUUUACUUUUGCUUAACUGAACACUUCCAUCUGUGAAUGUGGCCCUGGCUACAUUUUACUUGGUAGCCCCUAUCUCAUUGGUAGAUGACAGUGACUUGAAGAAGCUAGUGACCAGAAGCUGGUGACUUCCAAGUGUUUCCUUUAAGGAUGAUAACACGGCCACUGUGGUUAGCAAGAAGGACACCUUUUUAAGAAACUGUCAUGAGAUACUAGAGAAUUGGGUAGUAACAGGAACAAUACUUGGCAGUAUGAUGGCACAUUCUUGUUACUCUGAGGCCUAAACACUGUUGUUAACACUGCUGCUGAUUAGAAUUACAGCUUAGUCAAGUGUCUGAACCUUUUCCCUUUUAUGUCUUAAAGCACUGUUAACAGAGUAAUGGCUCACCUAGAAAUCCAAAAAAUCCUAACAGGUAAUCAAUGAGAAAAUGAAAUUUUUUUUUUUUUUUUUUUUGUU